GUACUGAUGAAGAGUCCCAGACCCGGACGAAACAACUGUCCAGUAU
rnacentral:hammerhead_ribozyme from 1 species